rnacentral:rRNA from 1 species
GUUCGGAUUUACUGGGCAUAAAGAGCACGUAGGCGGCUCGCUCAGUCGGGUGUGAAAGCCCACGGCCCAACCGUGGAACUGCACCCGAUACUGGCGAGCUCGAGGACGGAAGGGGUGAGUGGAACUCCAGGUGGAACGGUGAAAUGUAUAGAUAUCUGGAGGAACACCGGUGGCGAAAGCGGCUCACUGGUCCGUCUCUGACGCUGAGGUGCGAAAGCUAGGGUAGCGAACGGGAUUAGAUACCCCGGUAGUCCUAGCCGUAAACGAUGGGCACUAGGCAAUGGGCCCUCCUAUGAGGUUCAUUGCCGGAGCUAAUGUGUUAAGUGCCCCGCCUGGGGAGUACGCUCGCAAGGGUAAAACUCAAAGGAAUUGACGGGGGAUCACACAAGCGGUGGAGCAUGUUGUUUAAUUCGAAGCAACGCGAAGAACCUUACCAGGCCUUGACAUGUACGGAUUAGCCACGUGAAAGCGUGGUGACAGCUCUUCGGAGUCGGAACGUACACAGGUGUUGCAUGGCU